rnacentral:rRNA from 1 species
UACGUAGGGGGGCAAGCGUUGUCCGGAAUUAUUGGGCGUAAAGAGCGUGUAGGCGGUCCGGUAAGUCGGCUGUGAAAGUCCAGGGCUCAACCCUGGGAUGCCGGUCGAUACUGCCGGACUAGAGUUCGGAAGAGGCGAGUGGAAUCCCGGUGUAGCGGUGAAAUGCGCAGAUAUCGGGAGGAACACCUAUGGCGAAGGCAGCUCGCUGGGACGUUACUGA